AACACAUUUACCGAUUUGCCACUGCAGUUAAAAAAUGACAAUACGUCGCCUUGUUCUCGACGUCGACGACGAAGUUGAACAACUUCAAACUCCGCAACCCUCCGUCACAUCCACGCCCCAACCUUCAAACUCCUCUAACUUUCCAUCUGUGCCUCUUCUAAUCUCCGACGACGACGAUGAUGAUACCGCCUUCGUCGACGUUCCCGAUUACCUCUCGCCGCCGCCUCCUCCGCAACCUAGGGCUUCAAGCUGCCCCGUGGGCGACUCUCUUCGUCGGCUGGGACUGGGGCUGAAGAGAGAGUGGGUGGAUGCAUGCCUUGGCGAACUUGAGGGCUCCGUGAGGGGCUUUGCGGGGUUCGAUGUUACUGCGAAGGCCAAGCUCUGUUUCGAGCAAUUUCUCUUUGCCGAUAUGAACUCGUGUGGGAGCGGCGUGCUGCCUCCCAAUGUGCAUUCCAUGCAUCUCGUUAAUCUCUCCGGCCCUUUUGUGUUGCAGGUUGAUGAAAUCCUUAAUAUGAGUUGUCCUCUUCGAGGGAGAUAUCAACAAGCCCCACCCGGAUUAAAGAGGUGCCUGAAGUUAUCGAUGACGGAUGGCGUUCAGAGAGUUUUUGCGAUGGAGUAUAGGCCCAUUCUAUCUCUUGAUGUUUGUGCAUCUUCUGGUUUAAAGGUUGCUAUCUCUAAUGUACAUGUGCGACGUGGGCUUUUGAUGCUUGUCCCCGAGACAAUUGAAAUUUUGGGGGGACUAGUUGAGCAGCUGGAUGCAGCUCGAAAGCGGCUAGUUGAUGAAUUGAACAAGCCACCCAGGGGGAAAAGAACUAAAAAUGGAGUCCUUCCUCCUUUAGCAACUAGAGCAACUCUUGCAGCAUGGCCAGCGAGUACAGUUGAUGAUACUGGGCGCAGCAGCUCUGUGUUUCAAAGGACUGAUUCUGUCCAGAUUAACAACGAAGGUGCUGGCCUGACCAUGUCUGGCACUGGGAACUGUGUAACUACAGAAGAUACCAAUCUCAUGGGUGCACGAAAUGCUGCUUCCAAUUCAAUACCCAGCACGGUUGCAAACGCUGACGCCAUGAAUGUGGAUAUACAUGCUGAUACCAACCCUGCAAGUUUUGCGAAUUCCACAGCCACUCAAUUCUCUUCAGCGGUUGCACGGGCUCAGGAGAUGCAUAUAGAUACUGCAGCUAUAGCAAGGGAAAAUUCGGUCGGCAACCAAUCUUCUCAUUUGUCUACAAAUGAUGCAACGGCACAUAAAGAUACUGUUCAUAUAACAAGAACAAGUUAUGUGCCCCCAAAGAGCUCUCCUAUUGUGCAAAAUGUCGAGACAGACAAGGAUAGAGUUAUUGAAGAUACAGAAAAUGAGCAUCCUAGAGGAUCUUCCUCCACUGUUCUUAACAAUCAUGAUGUCCAUAUGGUUGAUGACGAUUACCACACCAUUGAAGUUACAGAUAAUGAUCUUUGGAGAGGAUCUUCCACCACUUCUGUAAACAAUAACAAUGUCCAUAUGGUUGAUGACAGUGACCACCCACGUAUGCUGUCUGCAGACCAAGAAGUUCCUUUCACAUACUUAGCUAGUUUGUCUGCCAAGUGGGUUACAAUGAAGGAGAAAGUUCCUUCAGUUCAUGGUAAAAUUAAGUGUUUUGUCGACCCAUACUGGUGUAAAGCGAUUCCAAUAUAAGGGAAGGACAACAUACGAGCUGCAGGCAUAUGUAGAUGAUGGUAGCCUCAUUACCGAAGUUCUUAUUGAUCAUCAUGUUGUACAGAAUGGAAUUGGCUAUUCUCCGGAGGAAGUCACUGCAGCACUUUCUUCUUCUGACAACAAAAUAGUGCAGAGCAUAAAGAACGUAAUGCAUAAGUUCCAAGCAUUUUUAAUAAACUUCGAGGGUAUAAUGCAUGUGGAACUAAAUAGAAAAUCAUCGCUUCCAGUUGCCGUAGAGAUGAGUCAAGGCUGUCCUCAGUCUGAUGCGUGGUUACUUCUGAGACGGCUCAAGUCCCUUUACCCUCCACAAACCCAAACACAUUGUCCUUCGAAUCCAAUUGAAUUGUCACCAUAGUUAUCUGAAUGGGUAGAAUGUCAUAAGUUGGGCUCUGAUUAUUGUCAAGUUACGUAUGGCAAACUGCUUGCAUAAUUGAGAUGGACUUGGAUUUGUGGGACAAUUGAAUCAUUUUUUCAUAAAUUUAUGGCUAUGCUCCUUCGCUUGUGUAUUCUACCGAGCUCGAAAUUAUGAUUGGAGUUAUGAAUUAUGAGCAAGCAUUUGGUGAUGUAAAGUAAGACUUAUAGCACAUGGAUGUAUGGAUGUAAUUAAGGCAAUGGGCAGGACAUAUGUAUACAGAAUGGUCGUUCUUUUCAGAACUAGUAAGAGCCUUCUCUUUUCUCUGCAUUA